ACAGCCGCAGAAACCAGGCCGCUGCAACUGUUUAUUAAAAACAUAGCACUCUGCAAACACGAAAGUGGACGUAUAGGGUGUGAUGCCUGCCCGGUGCUGGAAGGUUAAUUGAUGGGGUUAGCGUAAGCGAAGCUCUUGAUCGAAGCCCCAGUAAACGGCGGCCGUAACUAUAACGGUCCUAAGGUAGCGAAAUUCCUUGUCGGGUAAGUUCCGACCUGCACGAAUGGCAUAAUGAUGGCGGCGCUGUCUCCAGCAGAGGCUCAGUGAAAUCGAAAUCGCUGUGAAGAUGCAGUGUACCCGCGGCUAGACGGAAAGACCCCGUGAACCUUUACUGCAGCUUGACACUGAACUUUGACCUUACUUGUGUAGGAUAGGUGGGAGGCUUUGAAGCUGGAACGCUAGUUCCAGUGGAGCCGUCCUUGAAAUACCACCCUGGUAAUGUUGAGGUUCUAACUCUGUCCCGUGAUCCGGGACGAGGACCGUGUCUGGUGGGUAGUUUGACUGGGGCGGUCUCCUCCUAAAGAGUAACGGAGGAGUACGAAGGUGCGCUCAGCGUGGUCGGAAAUCACGCGUAGAGUAUAAAGGCAAAAGCGCGCUUAACUGCGAGACCCACAAGUCGAGCAGGUACGAAAGUAGGUCUUAGUGAUCCGGUGGUUCUGUAUGGAAGGGCCAUCGCUCAACGGAUAAAAGGUACUCUGGGGAUAACAGGCUGAUACCGCCCAAGAGUUCAUAUCGACGGCGGUGUUUGGCACCUCGAUGUCGGCUCAUCUCAUCCUGGGGCUGAAGCAGGUCCCAAGGGUAUGGCUGUUCGCCAUUUAAAGAGGUACGCGAGCUGGGUUUAGAACGUCGUGAGACAGUUCGGUCCCUAUCUACCGUGGGCGCUGGAAAUUUGAGAGGAUCUGCUCCUAGUACGAGAGGACCAGAGUGGACGAACCUCUGGUGUACCGGUUGUGACGCCAGUCGCAUCGCCGGGUAGCUAUGUUCGGAAGGGAUAACCGCUGAAAGCAUCUAAGCGGGAAGCCUACCUCAAGAUAAGAUUUCCCUAGGACUUUAUGUCCUCUAAAGAGCCGUUCGAGACUAGGACGUUGAUAGGUUGGAUGUGGAAGCAUAGUGAUAUGUGAAGCUGACCAAUACUAAUUGCUCGUGAGGCUUGACUAU
rnacentral:rRNA from 1 species